AUUGAACGCUGGCGGCAGGCCUAACACAUGCAAGUCGAGCGGCAGCGGGAAAGUAGCUUGCUACUUUUGCCGGCGAGCGGCGGACGGGUGAGUAAUGCCUGGGGAUCUGCCCAGUCGAGGGGGAUAACUACUGGAAACGGUAGCUAAUACCGCAUACGCCCUACGGGGGAAAGCAGGGGACCUUCGGGCCUUGCGCGAUUGGAUGAACCCAGGUGGGGUUAGCUAGUUGGUGAGGUAAUGGCUCACCAAGGCGACGAUCCCUAGCUGGUCUGAGAGGAUGCUCAGCCACACUGGAACUGAGACACGGUCCAGACUCCUACGGGAGGCAGCAGUGGGGAAUAUUGCACAAUGGGGGAAACCCUGAUGCAGCCAUGCCGCGUGUGUGAAGAAGGCCUUCGGGUUGUAAAGCACUUUCAGCGAGGAGGAAAGGUUGGUAGCUAAUAACUGCCAGCUGUGACGUUACUCGCAGAAGAAGCACCGGCUAACUCCGUGCCAGCAGCCGCCGUAAUAC
rnacentral:rRNA from 1 species